GUUAUCCUGGGUCUUUCUGUGCUAGCGUUGGUUUGAGUUCCCCAACAGGGCCUUGUACUGAGGGAUUUUACUGCCCAGCAAACUUCAGCUCCAUCAGCCCCACAGCAUUUCUCUGCCCUAAGGGUCACUUCUGCCAAUCAGGAGCAGCCCACCCAACACCAUGCCCUGCUGGGGAAUACCAGCCAGCCAGGGGCUCUGCGUCCUGCAUUCCAUGCCAGAGAGGGUUCUACUGCCAGGAGCUGGUGGCUGGGGACCCCAAGAGCUGCCCACCACAUACGUACUGCCCUCCAGGCACACAGUUUCCUCAGGCAUGUCCUGAAGGCACCUUUACUCCUCCAAAUAUGACUGGCCUCUGGAAUGAGAAGCAAUGCCUGCCUUGCUUACCUGGUCACUACUGCAGGCGUGGACAGCUAGUGGGGAAAUGUGCUGCUGGAUACUUCUGCCUUGCUGGGAGCUCUCAGCCUACUCCACAGGGC
rnacentral:lncRNA from 1 species